GCGCCUCCUUUAUACCGCGAUCUCAGGCUCCACCAUCUCAAACCACUUUUCCCUCUAGGGCUUCCAUUGCAAAGGAGCCAGUGACAUGCUUUCUGGCGGCGAUUGGGAGCGAAAUAUCCAAAACCCCGGUCAGGAUCAGCCCAACCUUGAGCUGCUGUGGGAAGCGCGGCUGUUGCAGAGAUUAGAGGCAGAAUUAAAACUGGACCCUUUUAGAGUCUCCCAGUGAUCUGCACAACUACCGCCUGACGAGGCUUUCUGGGUCCUAAACCACGCCUGUUCAUAGCUCUUCUUCUUCUUCAACUCAAGACUAGAGUUUCAGGAUCCUCAAUUUGCGCCUCCUAAAAUGAACACAGGUUGCCCACCUGCCUUGCACCCUUGCCUCCUAAAAUGAGAUAAAGGCUACAGGAACCAGUUUUGAAUUGCAAACACAGCCAAUGGAAAACACUCAGCAACCCGCAUGGUAAUGAGCUCAUU